rnacentral:rRNA from 1 species
CAAUAGCGUCUAUUAAAGUUGUUGCGGUUAAAAAGCUCGUAGUUGGAUCUCGGCAGGCAGGGGGUGGUUCGCUCUUAGCGCUACUGCCCCAUUUGCCUGUGUGAUUGGCGGAGGUUUCGGGGUGCUCUUCGUUGAGUGACCCGGGGCGCCGUCAGGUUUACUUUGAAAAAAUUAGAGUGCUCAAAGCAGGCUUUUCACGCUUGAAUAUUCGUGCAUGGAAUAAUGGAAUAGGAACUCGUUUCUAUUUUGUUGGUUUUCGGAAAUCGAGUUAAUGAUUAAUAGGGACAAUUGGGGGCAUUAGUAUUCAGACGACAGAGGUGAAAUUCUUGGACCGUCUGAAGACUAACUACUGCGAAAGCAUUUGCCAAGAGUGUUUUCAUUAA